UACAGAGGUCUCAAGCGUUGUUCGGAUUCAUUGGGCGUAAAGGGUGCGUAGGUGGCGAGGUAAGUUGGAUGUGAAAUCCCGGGGCUCAACCCCGGAACUGCAUUCAAUACUGCCUUGCUGGAGUACUGGAGAGGAGAUUGGAAUUUACGGUGUAGCAGUGAAAUGCGUAGAUAUCAAGUGGAACACCAGUGGCGAAGGCGAGUCUCUGGACAUUUCCUGACGCUGAGGCACGAAAGCCAGGGGAGCAAACGGG
rnacentral:rRNA from 1 species